rnacentral:rRNA from 1 species
AUACGGAGGGUCCGAGCGUUAUCCGGAAUCAUUGGGUUUAAAGGGUCCGUAAGCGGGAAUCUAAGUCAGUGGUGAAAUCUUGCAGCUCAACUGUAAAAUUGCCAUUGAUACUGGAUUUCUUGAAUUAGUGUGAAGUGAUUAGAAUGUGUAGUGUAGCGGUGAAAUGCAUAGAUAUUACACAGAAUACCAAUUGCGAAGGCAGAUCACUAACACUAUAUUGACGCUGAGGGACGAAAGCGUGGGGAGCGAACAGGAUUAGAUACCCCAGUAGUCC